rnacentral:rRNA from 1 species
GUAUGAAGCUAACCAAUACUAAUUCGCCGUGAGGCUUGGUCAUAUAACCCCAAGGGGUU